GAGUAUCGGACCUGAGAAAGAAAAAAUAUGACCUGAUAGAUAAUUAAACCUGUGUUCAUCUUAAAAAAUUCGUAAACCAAAAAAAAUGUAAAUUAUGACCCCCUUUAAAAACAUACUAUAAGUUAAGAGAAGGCUGGAAACUCUAGAUUCGAGCCUACGAGCAAGGGAUUCACUACCCAGGCCGUUGUGAAAACAAUUGUCCAGACAAUUAAAAAUCUUUUAUCAUUAUUUCACAUUUGUAUUAAGCUUCCAAAUGAGACCAACUCCAAGUCUCUAGCCCUUCCUGUUCAUUAAAUAAUCCCAUCAGGAAACGAGCGCAUUCGUGCUAAAAAUCCUUGGUAGAAAAAAUUGCGGCACAACAAUUCGGUACGUAAACAUAGACUAAUACAUGUUUGUCAGCCGUGCACAGGUCAUAAUCAUAUUGUCACUUGGUGCAAUAACUCGCUUAAUGUAUAUGUAUUUUUUAACUACUUAUUAAUGUAUUUUCAUUUUAUUGUCAAUAGGCCAUCAAAAAGGCUGUAUGAAUCGGAUAGUGACACUGAUGAGAAUGAGACAGACACCGAGAGUAGGCCAUCACAAGUUAUUGACAAAGCAACAACUCCAAACAGGCACGAAGCCUGCUUUCACCUCCGCCUUGCUUAUCUGGACAGGCAUUGCGAGAGGCCAGCAGUGAUGUGCAAAGUGCUUCUCUAAUACAAGCUGCUGUUACACAGAUUCUCUGAGUCUUGUAGACAAUGCGGGAGGAGAAUCGUGAAAUUAAGAGGAUGAUGUAGCAAUUGUUGUCAAGGUCAGCAGCAGAUGACCAACCGCUGCAGCUUCCUGAAGAUAUCUCAUUCCCUUUUCGUUCUCCUUAGCAGAUGGAAACAUUCGAUGAGCUUCUUGGAGAUCAGACAAAGCUGUCAUCUGUGGUGCGGUUCCUCUCAAUGUUUGGUGGGGCAGUUGUGCGGGAAACUGUUGACCGCUAGAUGAUAGAAACCAUGUCAAAUGAACUGGCAAGAAUGUUCAAUAUGAAGGGGGCUGAAAGGGAAGAAAACAUUUGGGGGCCUCUAGAUACUGAAUGUAUUGUAUAGAUGUGUCCAAAGGAACUUGCCGACAAAGACUGCAACGAGGAAGGAUAUUGAAAUAAAGGUUUCAAAGUGGCUGGCUGGGGCGUGGGACGCGCGAUGGGGGAAGGAAAGCAAGAAACAAAGUGUCCGAGACCUUACCUGAAGCAAAUGAAGGAAGUGACUAGACAUGUUUUUAUUUUAAAAAAAUGCAAAUCUAUAGAGGAUAUUUGUUUGUUAGUGUGUAAGAUGACAUUUUAUAUCAUCAAGUGAGCUGUAAAAACAUUAUUCUCACGAGUGAGAACACUGUUAUUUAAAAGUCCCUCAAUGAUAUAAAAUUACAUCUUACACAACAAACAAUAAAGUGUCUUUUUUAUUUUAUGCUAAUGAAAUUUCCUCAAUAUUAACUUUAAUAAUUAUUAAAUCUGUUUUCCCCACUGUUAACAUCAAUUUUAGUUGAAUUUAAGUCCAAUUAUUCAUAAAUACAGGAGUCUUGGGCUUAACAAAAAGUUUGACAAUCAACGUUGAAUAGCAAUGAUUUUAUUUAUUUUAUUAAAAAAUAUAUGAAUAAUCGCUUGUUUUAAUAAUAAAAACAACCAAUUCUAGUAGAAAAAGUCACACCAUCCCACCUUAUUUCUGUUACUCAGGCAAUUUAUGUAUGACCUGGCUUUGUGAAAUGUAAGUGGUGGCCAUUUUUAAAAGUUUUGUAUUUUAAGGAAAAUUAAUUUUGUUUUAUUCAGAGGAAUAUUAUUUGGAUAGGUUAGUCUUGAAACAGUCCUGAGAAUGUCAGAAUUGUAAGCAAAAAUGAUAUUAAGGUACCACAUGGGGAAAAUCUUUAAAAAAGUAGUCUCGUCAUUGAAAAGUUUGAAAUUUGGAUCAUUUUCACUGUGAAAUUAUCAAAUAUAAUUUUCACGGAUACAUCAGUAAUACACACACAAAAGCAUAAAAUGAAUGACUUUUAUUUUACAUUUUCGAACCUUUUCUUCGUCGGCAUAUAAGUUAUUCCAAUGAUUGAAAGUCAAUAGAUAUCAAAGUAUUUUAAAAUGUGAUAAGGGUCAGAACUACAGUAAGUGGCUCAUUUGUGUGUCUUGUUAUACUUUUUGUUGCUAGUUUUAAUGUUUGAGGUCAUCAGCAUAGCAUGUCUUUCUUGUAAAUGAAAAAUUCUUUGCCUUCUAGUCAGUUUAUGUUGCUGCUAUGUAACGUUUGUUGUUGACAUUAUAUGCUGUUUUUCUGUUGUCUAUAUGCUGUUGUUAUUUUUUUUCAUUAAACAUUGUUGCUAUUUAAAUCAAGACAUUAAAUGCUUGGGGAAUGUUUUUGAUACUGAUCAAUACAAUUAUAACAUCUUGUCCAAACUUAACACUAACAGGGAACACAUAUAUAGGUAUGGUAUUAACAUUUUAAAUCAAGUUGAAAUACUGUACAAUGAUGCUUCUUGUAAUCUUUAUUUUUGUUCUUGUUGAAACUUUGAUAAUACCGGUAUUGGAUAAAUUACUGAAACAACUAUUGUUACUGACAAUUUUUUUAAAAUGAACUUCUUCACAACAAAUUUGAUCUUGUUAAAUCAGUAUUAUUUCACAUUUUUUAAAGGAAUAUAUCCAUAAAUAAUUACUGUUCUGUGAUAUAUAGGAUAAUUGUUAAUUUCGGUGUAAUAUCACAUUUUAUUUAUAAUUAAUUUCACAGAGUGGAUACGUAAAGUGUUGUUCACAAAGUGGCGCAGCCAUGAGUGAAAAUAACAAAUAUGGUAUUCAGAAGUGAACUUAUCAUGAUACUUACAUUGAUACAGUAUACAUGUAUGUGUUUACUUUAUGUCUAAAACUCCACUAAUGUUUGGUUCCUUUCAAUAAAAGGUUGAAAUAUGCGAGAAACUUUUUAUCAGGAAGCAUCGCAAAGAUGAAGUCAUUUUAUUGACGUUGUUGUCAUAUUUUUUUUCCGAAUUUCAGUAUACUUGGUUAACUUUUUUGAUAUUUAUAUAGUUAUCAAAUUCGAUAAUUUUUUUCACAAAGUGGCUAGUGAGUCAGGAUAGAAUUCAACGUUAACUUCCAUAAACCAUUGAAAAUUGAUAAAAGAUUAAUGAAAUUCUUAUUGAGAAUGAUAUUAGCACAUAGAAAACUGAUCCAAACAGUAACGUUUCACAAAAGGUUACUAUAACUAUUGAUAUUAACAAUUGAAAUGCAUUAAAUUGUAAAUACUAUUGUUAUUUCUUGCCUUUAUUGUGGUUUUUGUUGAUGAAGAUAUGAGAAAUGAAGCUGGUUAUUUUUACAAACUGGUACAAACUAUUUGUUACUUUUCAUCAGCUGCAUAUUUUUUUUAAAAGUCUAUAAACAGUAUUUUAUGUGCCAAGGUUUGUUAUUAUAUUUGUUACUUUUCAUCAGCUGUAUAUUUUGUUUACACAUCUAUGAACAGUAUUACAACUGUGCCAAGGUUUUGUUUUAUUAUAUUUGUUACAUUUCACAAGCUGUAUAAUAUUUUUUCUUUCAGCACUAUCAUACCAAAGUGUAAUAUAUGGUUGUAAUGAACAACUUUUUAUAUUUAUUCAUGUAGAUCUAUUUCAUUUGUCCAAUACAAAGAUAUCUGAAAAUUUAAAUAUCAUAUAAAACAUAGAUACUAUUUCAUUUGAAAAUGAAAGUAAUUGGUAGAUAGAAAUUUGUAAUGAAUUACAAUAAAUGUAUAAUACUUUCCUAUGAAUUAUGUAGAAAUUUAAAAAGACAUGGGAGUAGGUUUGCAGUUGUGUCUUUGAGAAUCUGUAUAUAUAUGAUACACUCUUACCAUAAUUGAGAUUACUAAAUAAAGUUAACAUUGUUAAAGCAUA